GAUGAACGCUGGCGGCGUGCCUAAUACAUGCAAGUCGAGCGAACAGACGAGGAGCUUGCUCCUCUGACGUUAGCGGCGGACGGGUGAGUAACACGUGGAUAACCUACCUAUAAGACUGGGAUAACUUCGGGAAACCGGAGCUAAUACCGGAUAAUAUAUUGAACCGCAUGGUUCAAUAGUGAAAGACGGUUUUGCUGUCACUUAUAGAUGGAUCCGCGCCGCAUUAGCUAGUUGGUAAGGUAACGGCUUACCAAGGCAACGAUGCGUAGCCGACCUGAGAGGGUGAUCGGCCACACUGGAACUGAGACACGGUCCAGACUCCUACGGGAGGCAGCAGUAGGGAAUCUUCCGCAAUGGGCGAAAGCCUGACGGAGCAACGCCGCGUGAGUGAUGAAGGUCUUCGGAUCGUAAAACUCUGUUAUUAGGGAAGAACAAAUGUGUAAGCAACUAUGUACGUCUUGACGGUACCUAAUCAGAAAGCCACGGCUAACUACGUG
rnacentral:rRNA from 1 species